AGAACGAACGCUGGCGGCAGGCCUAAUACAUGCAAGUCGAGCGCCCAGCAAUGGGAGCGGCGGACGGGUGAGCAACACGUGGGAACAUGCCCUUCGGUACGGAACAACUCAGGGAAACUUGAGCUAAUACCGUAUACGCCCCGCAAGGGGGAAAGAUUUAUCGCCGAAGGAUUGGCCCGCGUCCGAUUAGCUAGUUGGUGAGGUAACGGCCCACCAAGGCACCGAUCGGUAGCUGGUUUGAGAGAACGACCAGCCACACUGGGACUGAGACACGGCCCAGACUCCUACGGGAGGCAGCAGUAGGGAAUCUUGGACAAUGGGGAAACCCUGAUCCAGCCAUGCCGCGUGAGUGAUGAAGGCCUUCGGUUGUAAAACUCGUUCGGCGGGGACGAUAAAUGACGGUACCGCAGAAGAAGCUCCGGCUAACUUCGUGCCAGCAGCCGC
rnacentral:rRNA from 1 species